rnacentral:tRNA from 1 species
UGGAGAUGUAGUUCAGUGGUACAGCACUUGCCUAGCAUAUGCAAGAUCCUGGGUUCAAUCCACAGCACUACAA